rnacentral:rRNA from 1 species
ACGGCUCAGUAACACGUGGACAACCUACCCUCCGGACGGGUAUAAACCCGGGAAACUGGGUAUAAUCCCCGAUAGAUCUCGGUCGCUGGAAAGCCCCGAGAUCGAAAGCUCCGGCGCCAGAGGAUGGGUCUGCGGCCUAUCAGAUAGUAGUGGGUGUAGCGUACCUACUAGCCUACGACGGGUACGGGUUGUGAGAGCAAGAGCCCGGAGAUGGAUUCUGAGACACGAAUCCAGGCCCUACGGGGUGCAGCAGGCGCGAAAACUUUACAAUGCCGGCAACGGCGAUAAGGGGACCUCGAGUGCCAGGUUACAAAUCUGGCUGUCGUGAUGCCUAAAAAGCAUUGCAUAGCAAGGGCCGGGCAAGACCGGUGCCAGCCGCUGCGGUAACACCGGCGGCUCGAGUGGUAACCGUUAUUAUUGGGUCUAAAGGGUCUGUAGCCGGCCAGAUAAGUCUCUUGGGAAAUCCAGCAGCUCAACUGUUGGGCUUUCAGGAGAUACUGUCUGGCUCGAGGCCGGGAGAGGUGAGAGGUACUUCAGGGGUAGGGGUGAAAUCUUGUAAUCCUUGAAGGACCACCAGUGGCGAAGGCGUCUCACCAGAACGGACUUGACGGCAAGGGACGAAAGCUAGGGGCACGAACCGGAUUAGAUACCCGGGUAGUCCUAGCCGUAAACGAUACUCGCUAGGUGUCAGCCACGGUGCGACCGUGGUUGGUGCCGUAGGGAAGCCGUAAAGCGAGCCACCUGGGAAGUACGGCCGCAAGGCUGAAACUUAAAGGAAUUGGCGGGGGAGCAC